GCAUCCAUAGAAGCAUCGACGCCAAAACAGAUAACGCCUGACCAAACACUGAACCGGCUAGCUACCUCACUCUAGAUGUCUCCUCUCGAAAUCUCCACACCCUUCCCCAUCCCACCAUCCCUCGUUGGAUCUGGUGAGCCAUGGUGAAUGGCGGCAUGCGGAUGGGGAAGCAACAACCUGCAUCGUCAUCGUGGGGACGAGAUCGAUUGGGCAGCGAGGCUGAGGAUGGGAAGAGAGCAGCGCGCAGGUGCGCCUUCUCGCAGGCGGACGAGGCCGGAGGAACUCGCGACGAGCCGGGAGGACAGGGAAAAGGAGGCAGUGAGGCGCAAGCUCGAGGCGUACAAGAUGGACAAACUCGUCAGUAUCGUUAUCAAGUACGACGUCUAGGUAAAUGCUUGGUUAAAUGUUCCCACUGAUUUUGUUGUUGUCAACGAAAAUGGUGCCCGGGAUUACUGGUUUCAAGUCGCUGGAGAAUUUAACGCAAUUAUUGCCGAUAAUCGCGGAACACAACCUAUCCAAAUCAAACGUCAUUGGGGGUCAACGAUGCAUUCACCGCUACUGGACAAUCUAACCAGGACUUGAUUUCAAAUCUCUUCAAAUGUAUAAGUUAGAAAUGAAUCGACCAUUCAAAUUUCUUAACUUGUGGAUGUCUGUAUGAAAUUGUCCCCAGUGGAAGAAGACGUACUGUCAAGUCAAAUUAGUACUAUAGCAUUAGUGCGUCAAAGUUCAGUUUUGUUCUAAUAAAACAGAGGUUCUAUUUUUCCUAAUGAUGCCAUAAACUAUAAGUGGGAUAAUUUUGAUUAAUUUUCUUGUUUAUGUAUAUUUGCAUCUAGUGUGCAAUUGUGAAAUUAUCACUGCAAUACUAGAUAAGAAAGUGACAUCCUAAUUCUGAACUAUAGUCCCUAAUUUCCUUUUGUUACUAUCUAAAAUUAAAGAUCAGUCAUUUGAAACAUGUCAAAACUUUAGACCACCAUCUCUUGUUCUUCGGCAAUACCAUAAAUUUCCUUCAUAGAACUAUUGUUGUAUCAAUUCGACAAGAAAAGGCACAAACAUAUCACAGCUAAUUCACCAGGGAUUAUUAGAGCGACGGGCAAGAAGAUUACCUGGACGUUGCACUUGAUAACGAUAUCGGGGAGCUUCUCCAUCUUAUACGCCCUGUGCUUGCGCGUCGCUGCCUCUCCUUCUCCCUGUCCUCCAACCUCGCCGCGAGUUCCUCCGGCCUCGUCCGCCUGCUGGAAGGCACGUCUGCUGCCUCCUCCACUCGCGCGCCGCCAUCUUCCUAUUCGUCAACCUUGCCGCCAGCUCCUCUGGCCUCAUUCAUGAGGGUUUGUGCCGCCUCCGCCAGCGUACCGCUCUCUUCCCGCCCAUUAGCCUCGCCGCCGGACUGGCCUCUCGUCCCCAUGAUGCGGACCGCCCGUCGCCAUUCGCCGUGUCUCGCUGGAUCUAACGUGCAGACCGGCCUCUCGUUCCCAUGAUGAGGACGCAGGUUGUUGCCUCCUCCGUCCGCGCGCCACCAUUCGCCGUGGCUCGCUGGAUCUGACGUGGGAUGAGGAAGGGUGCGGAGAGUUCGAGAGGAGACAGCUGAGAGUGAGGUAGCUAGCCGGUUCGGUGUUCGGUCGGGUUAUCCUUUUUGGCGUCGAAGCUUCAGUGGAUGCAUUGGAGAAACGGGCGCUUCG